rnacentral:rRNA from 1 species
CGUGGCGGACGGGUGAGUAACGCGUGGGGUAACCUGCCCUGUACAGGGGGACAACAGCCGGAAACGGCUGCUAAUACCGCAUAAGCCCGCGGCGCCGCAUGGCGCUGCGGGGAAAACUCCGGUGGUACAGGAUGGGCCCGCGUCUGAUUAGCUAGUUGGCGGGGUAACGGCCCACCAAGGCAGCGAUCAGUAGCCGGCUUGAGAGAGUGGACGGCCACAUUGGGACUGAGACACGGCCCAGACUCCUACGGGAGGCAGCAG